GGGGUUAAAUGCUAAUGAUAUUAAUGAACCUCCCAGCGGCUCCCAAAGAAAAUGCAGGCGCUCUUGGAGCUGAGGAGUUAAGAGUGUGAAUAUGGGACUCUACGUGCGUGAAGGAGUACCAGACAGAUUCAUGGAAGAAAGUGCGUGGCUGUGUUUUGAUUGUGCACGCCGGACAUGACCAUGUGAAUUGGUUCAUUCUUGGUCCCGUGCUCCUUCUGUGGGGUACAACUUGGAUCUGAACCGAGGUGAAAUGUGCUCCUUGAGGUUCAGGUGAUGACUGAGGGGUGCAGACCUCUGCGUGGAGGUGAGGAGAAACUUCCAGGAGGACGGAGAGAGCCUGGUCAGAGCUGUCCUAAACUGUGGAUGACCAGGACCUCCGCCCGGCAGAGGCUGCUGUGGCCAGUAAAAUGGGGGCCAGGCUGGCUGCUUUCAGAGAGCAAGGCAGCGGCGGUGUGAAGAGCUAAAGGAGCUUUUGGACUGUCCCAGCGACAGAACAAGCCCCUCACACAGAAACAAUCGCGGCGCGGCCCAUUACAUUUACAGCACGUCGCCCUUUAAUUGGUGUAACACGCUGAGGCCUGAAAGGAGGAGAGGCCCACAAAGGCACCGUGAAUGAGCCUUGACUCACACAAAAACACUGCAGAAGUUCAGAGCCGGCCACUAACAAGGAGGUAGGGAGUUAGUUUGAAAAGGGGGUGAAGUUCAGAAAUGUGUCACCUUGAGGAGCGUCCCAUCAAAGCAAUGGUCGCAUUGACAAGCUGCAAAGAAAAAAAGUUAAACCUUCAGCGACGUGGACCUGCCUGCAGAUGUAUUCUUCCCCUUGAGGAGGGGCAAGGCGAAGGGCAAGUCUUUCUUUCUCUUUUCCUCUGCCGGCCCUGUGCUCUCUGCUCCCCUUAUUUACUUCAGAGAGCCUUCAAAAAGUCGAAGACCAAAAGAUUUACCUUCUACUCCCCUGCUAACUAAGAAAAUAAACGAACAUUUAAACACCAGGCAGAAUGAGGCUGGCUUAGGCCGCCGUGGCUGAUUUCGGCCUCUGUGGGAACGCAGAUCCGUCGUGCCCUCCUGCCUCCGACCUCCCCCCGGUUCCAGGGCCGCUCCCUGCUUCUGGGUUGCGGGGCGCCGCCUAGGCCCGCGCGCGGGGCAACCUGGAGAAGCUGCACCCGUGCGCGAUGAGGACAAGGGCACGCGCGCCAGAUGGACGCCCUUGGGUCAGGUGAGUCCUAAGUGUGCAAGCCCCACACCGCGCCGGGGGUGACCCUGCCUCCCUCCUCCUGCUGCCCGCCUGGAGGGAAGUCCCCGCCCUGCAGAGCGGGGGUUCCCGAGCUUCAGUUACAGGUGCAGAAUUGGGCGUCCCUAAAAGAAAAGUGAGCGUGCAAGGGCUAGGAUCGAAGAUGCCAGGAAUUCGCCCACUCGCGGUGGGGGUGCCGCCGGGCGGGCCUCCCCCGGCCUCCUCUCCGCUCCCCAACUCUCGCCUUCCUUCGCGGGGUCUCCCCGCGUCUCCCGCGCCAGGGUGGACACCUCCGCGUCCCUUUGCAGUGGGGGACGCGCCGGAGCGCCCACACCCUCCUCGGCUCGCCCCCUCCCGUCCUUUUCGUGGUGUGGGCCCGGGCCCCGCCGCCCCUGUGAACCGCCUGCCCCCGCGCGGAGGCGGGGGCCGGGGAGAGGGGGGCGGGCACUUUUCAAUGUCGCGCCGCAGCUCCCUCCAGAUUUGUAAUCCGCCAAAAAGCCGCUGAUUGCUGCAAUCGUUACUUUUCAUUAAAAAAACUUAGAAGCAAUUUGGGAGAACUCUUCUCAAUGAAUACAUUUACCCCCGAACGGUCUUUAUUCUCCGCCUCCACUUGAUGAGUUUCUGUGGCACGAAUCCGUUCUUACAGGCACAGAAUGGGCAAUCCCUUGAUCCCCGUCAAUUGUCAUCCCGAGUCGGGGCCACUUUGACCGCCAAUAGCGGGGAAGUCAGAGCUAAUCCUCAGAAGGAAUCACGGGAAAAGAAAAGCAACAAUAACCAAGUCAAGCGUAAAAAAUGAAAGAGAAAUCUCUAUUAUCACUCACUACAUUUCCCAGCUAUGUACUGAAAAAAUCAGCUCGCUUGUCAUUCGAGUCAGACACCCGCACAAGAAUAUGGGGUCGUGGUGGGUUGGUAGACUCACACGACGUAAGGAGCGAUGUUUGAGAGUGGAGGGCCCCUCUCCUGCCUCUGCCAA